CAGAAUGUCUCCAGGAAGUCUGCAGAAAGUCUGCAGAAAGUCUGCAGAAAGUCUCCAGGAAGUCUGCAGAAAGUCUCCAGAAAGUCUCCAGGAAGUCUGCAGAAAGUGUGCAGGAAGUGUUGUGUUCACGGCUUCUAAAACAGGUGAUUUUGUGAUGGAGUUCCUGCAGGAGGUCUGAGUUUAUCGGUCGGGCCUGAACGCCUCUGCAUGAUAAAGAAAGCCCUUGUUUCUCUGAAUAUUGCACGCUUAGUUUUACGGUAGGCCUGUGUGAGGCGUGAGACCGGCCGAUGUUCCUCAAACCGCCGAAGACGUGAAGCUGACCCUCGAACCAAACCUGAGCGACUGUCUGGAGCCCAAAAAGGUAAAAACAAA